GGGUUGUGAGGUUAAGCGACUAAGCGUACACGGUGGAUGCCCUGGCAGUCAGAGGCGAUGAAGGACGUGCUAAUCUGCGAUAAGCGCCGGUAAGGUGAUAUGAACCGUUAUAACCGGCGAUUUCCGAAUGGGGAAACCCAGUGUGACUCGUCACACUAUCAUUAACUGAAUCCAUAGGUUAAUGAGGCGAACCGGGGGAACUGAAACAUCUAAGUACCCCGAGGAAAAGAAAUCAACCGAGAUUCCCCCAGUAGCGGCGAGCGAACGGGGAGGAGCCCAGAGCCUGAAUCAGCAUGUGUGUUAGUGGAAGCGUCUGGAAAGGCGCGCGAUACAGGGUGACAGCCCCGUACACAAAAGCGCAUGUGCUGUGAGCUCGAUGAGUAGGGCGGGACACGUGGUAUCCUGUCUGAAUAUGGGGGGACCAUCCUCCAAGGCUAAAUACUCCUGACUGACCGAUAGUGAACCAGUACCGUGAGGGAAAGGCGAAAAG
rnacentral:rRNA from 1 species